AAAGAAAGUUAAAAAUUAAUUUGCAAUUAAUUAAAAUGGAAACAUACGAUAGGUUUUUA
rnacentral:tRNA from 1 species